AGUGUCGAAUGGAAUUCCCCCUCUUUCCUGCCCCUGGUUCAUUUAUAUGACUCAAGAGGAGGGCACGGUAUGUAGGGAGCUCGCUGACUUGGUUAAAUUAAAUGACAUCCAAGGAACGAAGACCUUAGACCUGCGCUGUCCAAUACAAUAGCUACAAGCCACGGAAGGCAGGGAUUGCAUUUCAAGACACAAUAUUAAACUGUGGAGGAGGACGUGCUUCUGAAAUCUCUGCCACAAAUCCAGGUUUCUUGGUGGGGGGAGGGUCUUUCAUUCUGGAGAUCUCCAGAGCUCCGUGAAUUUACUUGGGAGUUAC